rnacentral:pre_miRNA from 1 species
CUUGAAAUUGCUGGGUCAUAUGGUAAAGCUUUUGAGGAACUAUCAAAGUUUUCCACAGCAGUGGAACCAUUUAACAUUUCCACUAGUAAC